rnacentral:rRNA from 1 species
UUAAGCGACUAAGCGUACACGGUGGAUGCCCUGGCAGUCAGAGGCGAUGAAGGACGUGCUAAUCUGCGAAAAGCGUCGGUAAGGUGAUAUGAACCGUUAUAACCGGCGAUGUCCGAAUGGGGAAACCCAGUGCAAUUCGUUGCACUAUCGUUAACUGAAUACAUAGGUUAACGAGGCGAACCGGGGGAACUGAAACAUCUAAGUACCCCGAGGAAAAGAAAUCAACCGAGAUUCCCCCAGUAGCGGCGAGCGAACGGGGAGCAGCCCAGAGUCUGAAUCAGCUUGUGUGUUAGUGGAACGGUCUGGAAAGUCCGACGGUACAGGGUGAUAGUCCCGUACACCAAAAUGCACAGGCUGUGAACUCGAAGAGUAGGGCGGGACACGUGGUAUCCUGUCUGAAUAUGGGGGGACCAUCCUCCAAGGCUAAAUACUCCUGACUGACCGAUAGUGAACCAGUACCGUGAGGGAAAGGCGAAAAGAACCCCGGCGAGGGGAGUGAAAAAGAACCUGAAACCGUGUACGUACAAGCAGUGGGAGCACCUUCGGGUGUGACUGCGUACCUUUUGUAUAAUGGGUCAGCGACUUAUAUUCUGUAGCAAGGUUAACCGUAUAGGGGAGCCGCAGGGAAACCGAGUCUUAACUGGGCGUUAAGUUGCAGGGUAUAGACCCGAAACCCGGUGAUCUAGCCAUGGGCAGGUUGAAGGUUGGGUAACACUAACUGGAGGACCGAACCGACUAAUGUUGAAAAAUUAGCGGAUGACUUGUGGCUGGGGGUGAAAGGCCAAUCAAACCGGGAGAUAGCUGGUUCUCCCCGAAAGCUAUUUAGGUAGCGCCUCGUGAAUUCAUCUUCGGGGGUAGAGCACUGUUUCGGCUAGGGGGUCAUCCCGACUUACCAACCCGAUGCAAACUACGAAUACCGAAGAAUGUUAUCACGGGAGACACACGGCGGGUGCUAACGUCCGUCGUGAAGAGGGAAACAACCCAGACCGCCAGCUAAGGUCCCAAAGUCAUGGUUAAGUGGGAAACGAUGUGGGAAGGCACAGACAGCCAGGAUGUUGGCUUAGAAGCAGCCAUCAUUUAAAGAAAGCGUAAUAGCUCACUGGUCGAGUCGGCCUGCGCGGAAGAUGUAACGGGGCUAAACCAUGCACCGAAGCUGCGGCAGCGACACUAUGUGUUGUUGGGUAGGGGAGCGUUCUGUAAGCCUGCGAAGGUGUGCUGUGAGGCAUGCUGGAGGUAUCAGAAGUGCGAAUGCUGACAUAAGUAACGAUAAAGCGGGUGAAAAGCCCGCUCGCCGGAAGACCAAGGGUUCCUGUCCAACGUUAAUCGGGGCAGGGUGAGUCGACCCCUAAGGCGAGGCCGAAAGGCGUAGUCGAUGGGAAACAGGUUAAUAUUCCUGUACUUGGUGUUACUGCGAAGGGGGGACGGAGAAGGCUAUGUUAGCCGGGCGACGGUUGUCCCGGUUUAAGCAUGUAGGCUGGUUAUCCAGGCAAAUCCGGAUAAUCAAGGCUGAGGUGUGAUGACGAGGCACUACGGUGCUGAAGUAACAAAUGCCCUGCUUCCAGGAAAAGCCUCUAAGCAUCAGGUAACAUCAAAUCGUACCCCAAACCGACACAGGUGGUCAGGUAGAGAAUACCAAGGCGCUUGAGAGAACUCGGGUGAAGGAACUAGGCAAAAUGGUGCCGUAACUUCGGGAGAAGGCACGCUGGUGUGUAGGUGAAGCCCCUGCGGGUGGAGCUGAGACCAGUCGAAGAUACCAGCUGGCUGCAACUGUUUAUUAAAAACACAGCACUGUGCAAACACGAAAGUGGACGUAUACGGUGUGACGCCUGCCCGGUGCCGGAAGGUUAAUUGAUGGGGUUAUCCGUAAGGAGAAGCUCUUGAUCGAAGCCCCGGUAAACGGCGGCCGUAACUAUAACGGUCCUAAGGUAGCGAAAUUCCUUGUCGGGUAAGUUCCGACCUGCACGAAUGGCGUAAUGAUGGCCAGGCUGUCUCCACCCGAGACUCAGUGAAAUUGAACUCGCUGUGAAGAUGCAGUGUACCCGCGGCAAGACGGAAAGACCCCGUGAACCUUUACUAUAGCUUGACACUGAACAUUGAGCCUUGAUGUGUAGGAUAGGUGGGAGGCUUUGAAGCGUGGACGCCAGUCUGCGUGGAGCCAACCUUGAAAUACCACCCUUUAAUGUUUGAUGUUCUAACGUUGGCCCCUGACCGGGGUUGCGGACAGUGUCUGGUGGGUAGUUUGACUGGGGCGGUCUCCUCCCAAAGCGUAACGGAGGAGCACGAAGGUUAGCUAAUCCUGGUCGGACAUCAGGAGGUUAGUGCAAUGGCAUAAGCUAGCUUGACUGCGAGCGUGACGGCGCGAGCAGGUGCGAAAGCAGGUCAUAGUGAUCCGGUGGUUCUGAAUGGAAGGGCCAUCGCUCAACGGAUAAAAGGUACUCCGGGGAUAACAGGCUGAUACCGCCCAAGAGUUCAUAUCGACGGCGGUGUUUGGCACCUCGAUGUCGGCUCAUCACAUCCUGGGGCUGAAGUAGGUCCCAAGGGUAUGGCUGUUCGCCAUUUAAAGUGGUACGCGAGCUGGGUUUAGAACGUCGUGAGACAGUUCGGUCCCUAUCUGCCGUGGGCGCUGGAGAAUUGAGGGGGGCUGCUCCUAGUACGAGAGGACCGGAGUGGACGCAUCACUGGUGUUCGGGUUGUCAUGCCAAUGGCACUGCCCGGUAGCUAAAUGCGGAAGAGAUAAGUGCUGAAAGCAUCUAAGCACGAAACUUGCCCCGAGAUGAGUUCUCCCUGAGACUUUAAGUCUCCUGAAGGAACGUUAAAGACGAUGACGUUGAUAGGCCGGGUGUGUAAGCGCAGCGAUGCGUUGAGCUAACCGGUACUAAUGAACCGUGAGGCUUAACCU